CACACAGGCGGCCUGAUAAGUCUGACGUGAAAGCUCCUGGCUUAACUGGGAGAGGUCGUUGGAAACUGUGAGGCUUGAGGUAAUGAGAGGGGUGCGGAAUUCCCGGUGUAGUGGUGGAAUGCGUAGAUAUCGGGAGGAACACCAGUGGCGAAAGCGGCACCCUAGCAUUGACCUGACGCUCAUGUGCGAAAGCGUGGGGAGCGAACG
rnacentral:rRNA from 1 species